rnacentral:lncRNA from 1 species
AAUCACGUCCUAAACCGAAGGCAGACGCUCAACCAUUGAGCCACCCAGGUGCCCCUUAAAAAAAAAAUCUUAAGGGCAUCUGGGUGGCUGUGGGGUAAGCAUCCAACUCUUGGUUUCAGCUCAGGUCGUGAUCUCAAGGUCUUGGGAUCAAGCCCUGCAUCAGGCUCUGCUCAGUGCAGAGUCCGCUUCAGAUUCUCUCUCUCUCUCCCUCCUUCUCACUCUCUCUCUCCCUCUAAAAUAAAAUUUUUUUUUUUUUUCAAAAAAAACCUGAAUUGGUGAACAACAUGGGUUUUGUAAGGGGUGAUGAUAUGGAGAGACAUGUAAACCAUCUCCCUCCACCUCUACCUUCUUAAGCAAUGAGUUUAAGAGUUCAUAUUGGAUACUUAUAUCCUCUGGAGACCCUCCUCAUCCCAGAUCUGAGGCUUUUCUCUCUAUGUGCUACACCUUUUUCCUCAGCAGUGCCCUUGCCUACUCUUCCCUAUGUCCUUCUCCUUCACAGGAAGGAUGUGAAUUCCUCUCCUAAUAUCCUAUGUUGUAGUUUAGAAACCAUCUUUUGUUACUAAAUACAUCCUUAGCAUCUUAUGCUUCCUCUCUUUGCAGUUUAUCAAAGUAUUCCUUUCAAAGAAAGUCUACUUAACAGAAAUUUUAGGGGAAUAAAAUGUUUGUUUCAUUAUAGAAAUAGGCCUUAUUGGGACACCUGGUGGCUCAGCAGUUGAGCAUUUGUCUUUGGAUCAGGGUGUGAUCCUGGAGUUCCGGGAUCAAGUCCCACAUUGGGCUCCCUGCAGGGAGCCUGCUUCUCCCUCUGCCUGUGUUUCUGCCUUGUUCUCUCUGUCUCUCAUGAAUAAAUAAGUAAGUCUUUAAAAAAAAAUAGGCCUUAUUAAGACAGAAUUCUGAAAUGAAGGACCAUUUACAGAAUCUUGACUGUAAAUAUGUAAAUGGUCUGACAUUGCCCAACUCAAUUCAGACAUCUUACGUUUAACAGUACUUGAAGGGGUUCAUUAGCAUGGGAAUUUAUGAAUAUGACAGACUACUGAGGAUCCCUGAAUCCAUAUUUUGCAGUGAGAACCACAGAAAAUUCAUAUAAACUUAAUAUAGCACCACAGACCACCUGGUGGCUCAUUUGGUAAUGCAUACAACUCUUGAUCUCAAAGUCAUGAGUUCAAUUCCCAUGUUGGGCAUAGAGCUUACUGAAAAAACAAAAACAAAAUAUAGCACCAAAACUACAAUAAUAUAUUGUGAUUUCUACUGUAUGUCCUAACUUCCUCUUUACUAUGAAAUCAGAUAUAAACUUUAACCAGACAGUCCUGGUUCUCUUGGGGUUCUUCUGUAUGCCCCAUAUUACUUUUAUUUCUAGUUUUGGUUCAUAGUUAGAUGUGAGAAAUUCAAACCAUAACACAUUCAAACAUUUUUUUCCACUCAUGCCCAUUAAUAGCUUUAAUCUAGACAAAAUAUCUAAUUUAUAAUCAAAGGUGUAAAUGAAACCCUAAUUCCUGUAUUUGCACCCCCUUCCCUCAUCACCCCCCCCCCCCCCCGAAUCAUCUCAGGUUGUCUUUUUACAAUGCAUUUCCAAUUCCUGGCUUUCACCAUGGCUUUUC